rnacentral:misc_RNA from 1 species
CCGAGUUUUCAACUCCCAAACCCUAUGUGAACCAUACCUAUCGUUGCUUCGGCGGGACCGCCCCGGGCCUCGCGCCCGGAACCAGGCGCCCGCCGGGGGACCCAAACUCUGGUGUUUUAUAGUGGCAUCUUCUGAGUGGCUAUAAGCAAAAAAUAAAUCA